GACAGAGGGUGCAAACGUUGCUCGGAAUCACUGGGCGUAAAGGGCGUGUAGGCGGGAAGGAAAGUCAGAUGUGAAAUCCCCAGGCUCAACCUGGGAACUGCAUUUGAAACUCCCUUUCUUGAGUACCGGAGAGGAAAGUGGAAUUCCUGGUGUAGAGGUGAAAUUCGUAGAUAUCAGGAGGAACACCGGUGGCGAAGGCGGUUCUCUGGGCAUUACCUGACGCUGAGGAGCGAAAGUGUGGGGAGCGAACAGG
rnacentral:rRNA from 1 species